rnacentral:lncRNA from 1 species
UUUAAGCAAGUUUCAUUAAGUUUCAUGCAAGGCUAUUAUUUUCCUUAGCUAAGUUUUUGCAUUAUUGAUCCAACAAAGGUGAUUUCAUAUUUUCCUCUAUUUUCUUUCAUUUAUUAUGCAAAAAGUAAUUUUUCACCUAAGACUUAAUUGUUUGAUUCAAAAUAGUGUGUUUAACACCUAAACUAGCGCUACAAAAAUUAUAUCUAACACAAAC